UACAGAGGGGGCAAGCGUUGUUCGGAAUUACUGGGCGUAAAGCGCACGUAGGCGGGUUGUUAAGUCAGGGGUGAAAUCCUGGAGCUCAACUCCAGAACUGCCUUUGAUACUGGCAACCUAGAGACUGGAAGAGGUUAGUGGAAUUCCCAGCGUAGAGGUGAAAUUCGUAGAUAUUGGGAAGAACACCAGUGGCGAAGGCGGCUAACUGGUCCAGCACUGACGCUGAGGUGCGAAAGCGUGGGGAGCAAACAGG
rnacentral:rRNA from 1 species